rnacentral:rRNA from 1 species
UACGUAGGGGGCAAGCGUUGUCCGGAUUUAUUGGGCGUAAGGAGCGUGUAGGCGGCCAUGUAGGUCCGUUGUGAAAACUCGAGGCUCAACCUCGAGACGCCGAUGGAAACCAUGUGGCUAGAGUCCGGAAGAGGAGAGUGGAAUUCCUGGUGUAGCGGUGAAAUGCGCAGAUAUCAGGAAGAACACCCGUGGCUAAGGCGGCUCUCUAGUACGGUACUGACGCUGAGACGCGAAAGCGUGGGGAGCGAACAGG